UUUAAUUGCCUCUAGGGUUCCGAUUCAAAUCAUCCACGAUGUUGACUUAGUCAAUUGAAUGUCUGGUCCAAGAGAGGCAGGCUAGUGCGCCAACACAAGUUGAACUAGAAAUUUGCUAGCCACACGGCGGGAGAAAAACCCGGGAGGA
rnacentral:sRNA from 2 species